ACGCCCGAUCUCGUCUGAUCUCGGAAGCUAAG
ensembl:rRNA 5S_rRNA 5S ribosomal RNA